AAAAUAAACAUUAAUUAAUAAUAAAACAAAAAUACUUUCUCUUUCCUUCUCCCUUUCCCUUUUCUUUUCUGAAGAACUCAUGCUUUCCCUUUCCUUUCUCUGAUAUUGUGCUGAAGAUCGAGCUAUUUCCUUCAAGUCACGCUUUCCCUUCCCUUUUCCGAGCUGAAGAACUCAAAUUUUCUCUUAUCUGAGCUGAAGAUCGAGCUGAAUAUCAAGCUGUAGAACUCACAGAGCUGACCAAGCUUUCUCUUCUCCAACCUGAAUAUUUCGUCAAGAUUCUCCUGACUAGCUAAGCUAAAAAAUGGAAGUGCUAAGUUGAAGGUUCUCCUCUCUAGAUUUUGAUUUUCUCGACGAAAUGAAGAGUUGAUGCUAAAGAACUGGGGAUCAAAGAAAUAAAAUUCAAAGAGAUGAAGGAAGGAAGCUGAAUAACCGAUUUCUUGAAGUAAAUACUAAUUUACACUUACUUUAGAAACUAAAAUAGAGGUGUCAGGUUGUAUUGUGAGAAUUGUGUUUUAAGGUGCCCUUGUUUCAUUGCCACUGUCUACCCUUGUUGUUGACCCUGCUGCUGUUUGGAUUGUUGUUGCUGAGUUUUAUUGUUAGCUGGGGCUCUAUGGUCUGGGUUAAGGUCGGAGUGUACCCCCCUCAUGUAAAACAUGAGGCAAAUUCCCUCCUCUUGUUGCCCCUUUCUGCGGAAGUGAGGCUGUAUUAACAAUCCCCAUCCAACCCUCCUUCAACUUCAACAAUCAUAGUAGCAGUUUUAGAAAAAUUAUUUGAGUAAGGUUUCAUAGCUAUUAUACCUGAUAUUUUGCUAUUGACAUCCCUUCCUUGUUGAAUUUUUUGUUUUCCUUUAUCAUUUUCGUGCUCAUACCUGUUAUGUGUUUCCUUUGUUGUUGGAUGCCCUAUGGUGGUAGGUUCCUCUUUUGUAAUAACUUGAAUUUCCUGCAUGUUCAAGUUGUGAAAGCAUUGUGAUGUAAUAUGGGAAGUUUAUAUGUUUCUUGUGCGGUGCUUUGGGGAGCUUCCUUGGCUGUCUGAUUUUGUGGUGAGGUAGGUUUCCAUGUUGUUUUAUGGGGUAUCACUUCUUGCUGCCUUUGGUUCUUUUUCUUUGUGUUUGCCAUUCUUCUUCCUUCUGUUUAUUUUGUUUGUUCAUCUCCCUACUAUUUUGUUGUUGUUUUUCUGUAGCAUUUUUUGCAUUGUCGUGGUUAUUUUAUUUCUCUUUCUUGUUUUGAUUAUCCUUGCUUUUAUCCUCCUUUUUAUUUUCUUUCUCUUUUCUAGUUCUGUAAUCCUCCUCCCUCAUUCGAACUUUCUAUUCCUCUAUGUAGUGUCCCUGGUGCCUGCAAUACUCACAGUAUGGGGGAUGUUUUUAUUUGGUCAUUCUUCCCAUUCAAGCUUGCCUUCAAUGGUCAUUCUUUGUGUUCAGACUGUGUUGUAAUCAAGUUCAUUUUGCAGGUCAAUAAACACAUGUUUAACAUUAUAGUGUGCAAUGUUGACCCCCCCACACUUAAUUAAGUAUUUGUUGCUGCUAUUUGUUAUGUUCUAACUUUCUAUAGAUUUAUGUCACCCAUGGCCAUGGACUAUGGGUAAAUGAGUAAGCAUCUAGUGCUGAUUUUUUUUUCUUCUUUAAACUACUGUUCUGUUGGGAACAUCAGAAACUGCAACAGCCAUUCACUGGCGAGCACAGAAGACCCUUAAGAAGAGUAUUUCCCUUCUACCCUCACUGGGUAUGUGAUCAAUCUCAUGUGUGAAUACUUUUUUGACUUGGGAAUGAAUACUUUGAGCUGGCUAAUGUGAUUUCUUAUGCGGUGCACAAUCUCAUUUUUCAUUAAGAUGCCAAUCUUGAUCUACAUCACACUUUGAGGUAUUGGUAUUCUUUCGAUGACAUGCUUAUGUGAUCUAAGUAACUGUUAAAAGAGAUUUUCCUUUAUUCUUAGGCAGGACCUUCGCAACAAGUGUGAUAUAAAGGUUUUAGAAGAGCCAACUAUUGUCAUAUGCAAUUCAAUUUUCUUGACCUCUCAAACUAGUUGGAACGAUAAAAUUUUGUAGAUGAGUACCUUUAGCUUUAUGUGUCAAAUAGAAAAUGUACCAUUUCUAUCAAGAAAUCCUUCAUAUGGUAUCUUCUAAUUUCAAAUUUUCUUUUUUAUCAAAUAGUAAUAUUUUCAUGUUGAGUUCUAGUUCCUUGAUCCACCUUUUUAUGCCACAAACUAAAUUUCUCAAGAUUGCAUUUGAUUUUGUGCAUACGUUGAUUCUUGUCUAGUCGUUUGUACCUUAUUUAUGACAUGCUAAGAAUUUGAUUUAUGGCCAUGGGUAACAUAAAUCUCUACGAAGUUAGAUCAUAAAUGCUGACUUUUUUGUGUGGGUAAGGGACGUUUGUAAAAGUUGCUGGAAAUCCUGGAAAAGUCCUUAUGGUAAUUACUUUGCUCAUCAUUGGUUUUAGGAUGUUGAUGAUGGUCUUGGGUCCAAUUGUUCAGAUUUGUUUAUGGUUAUGAUUGGAUUGUUUUACAGACUCAAUCACACUCGCCCCCUGUAUUUAUUCACAACUUUCCACAACCUUUUGUCCCAUGGCAUUAACAUGCUCAUGGCCAACAAUUUGAUCAUGAGUAAACUGGUCAAGCAUAGAGUUAGAGGGAGUAGACUUUCCAUUUUGAUGAUUCUCUUAUUUUGAGCUUGUGUUCUAUAUUUUAGGGACAGUAGCUUGGGAUUCCUGCAAAAUGUCAUGUGAAUCUUUAGUGGUAUCAACAAGUAUACCUGUAUUAGGAGAGUUAUAUAUGCUUGGGUUUAAAAAUGUGAAAUCUGUAAAUCUUCAAAUCUGCAGAUCUAUGUUGCAUCUUAAAAAUAUGUUGUGGUAUAUUGUUGUUCUAUAUUUAGUGGAAAAAUUGUAAUCUACAACAUAUAUGUAAAUCUGCAAAUGUGCAAUAUGCAAAUCUUCAAAUAUGCAUAUCUGUAUUUUGAAGCUUGGUUUUGUACUUUUGAUCUUCUUAAUAAAGUGUUUAAACUUCUUUAAAAUGUUGUUUACAACUUGAACAUGCUUCCCGAUAAUAUGAAACUGGCGUAGAAGCAGAAAAAGAGAUCUUUUCAAAAUUUGAGUUGCAAAGGUAUGUGAUUAGUUGACUGUUAUCAAGAAAAAGAGAUCUCGAUAUGGUUUUGAAUAUUGUUGAAUGCUAGCGAAACACUCUAAAUGUUUGAAUUUUUUCUCUUUUUAGUUGUUAGUGGCUUGUUUUGUAUGGUUGCAGUCUAGUUUUUGCUAUAUGAGAUUUUGUUUCCAAUUUUAAUUAUGUUCUGGGUGUUAGCUGAUAAGAAUCGAAAUGGUAUUUCUCUACUAGUCUAUUUGACUGAUCCUUCAGUGUAUACCAUAGUCAAUCUGGAAUCUGCAAUCUGCUGAUUUAUUAUUUUCUGUAAAUUCCAGAUGCAAUAUGGAAUUUGCAAUCAGCAAAUUUACUAUUUUCUGUAACUUUCAGAUGCAAUGUGGAAUUUGCAAUUUUCAAAUUUACUAUUUUCUGUAACUUCCAAAUGCAAUCUGCAAAUAUAUUACCCGAGUAUGUAAUCUGCAAAUGCAUGUGCUCUUCUUCACUAUGAUUUGCUUGAAUUAGUGUCAGCGCAUGCUAUCUGUUUAAUUUGUUGAAUUGCUUCAAUGGCUUUCUCUUUCUCUUCUUUCCUCCAUUUUAUCCUCAUAAAACCAUAUCUCUUCCAUUUUCAUCUCGAAUGUGUUCCUUCAACUAUUUUACCUUCUAAAGCAAAAGAACUCUUGAAAGAUUUCACACCAAAGCAAUUUCUCAACACCCUUCGUUAAGAAAAUGAUGAAACUUCAGCUUUUCAUCUCUUUAAAUGGGAUUCUAAGCAGCCCCAUUUCACAUCCACUUUGUCUAUAUACGAAGAGAUUUUAAGGAAGCUUGGAAAUGUGGGAUCUUUUGAUUUAAUGAAGGGGGUAUUGGAUGAUAUGAAGAGAUUGAAGGUUGAAUUAGUUCAAGAAUGUAACAACAGGUGAAGAGAAGUGAAGAGCUAAGAACGAAAUAGUUGAGAACAUAUUAUCUUCUACGAUUUGUGAGAACAACAUCAUAAAGAGUUGAAGUCAUAGAAGAACUGAGUUAAAGAUUUGAAGUCAUUGAUAGUUCAAGUCGUCUAUCCGAUAACGGUUUCUUGAAGAAAGGAAUUGGAUACUUUGGGGUUGUUGGCAAGAUGAUGAAGUGAAGUGAAAUAGCUCUCUGUCAUGCUUUUCUUUCCAAUUUCUCACUGAAGAAAAGGAUUUCAGACUGCUUUUGUUGGAAUAAGGUUUAUCAGUGUUUGAGUUUUGUAGUGAAGAUCAUUUCCCUGCUCCUCUCUUUCUAGUUCAGUGCCAGCAGAAAGGUAAAGUCAUUUUCCUCAUGGUACUCUUUUCGCCUCUCUUUCUAUUUUAACAGUGAUAUUAUGAAUGUUUGAUGUAAUAAUCGAGAUUUUGUAUUCACAGUAGUUAUUGCCCUACUUGUCAUUCAAAGUUUUGUUGUGUUGUUUCUCUUCUUGAUCUUUCUCUUUGAAUUUCCCUUAAUCUGUGUCACAUGUAGAAUUGGUUCCAUGAGGUAUCCUUGGCUCAAGAAAAUUAGAACCUCAAAGUUUACAUGCCACAUAAAUUAAUAUAAGGACUUAGAUGACUAAACAAUAGAAAGUUACGAUAUAUACUCCAUUUAGAGAGAGCCACUAGGAUUUACAAUCCAUGAUAUCUGACUUCAGAUCAUAAAUAUACACAUUACAGUCUCGAGGCCAAUUAAAGGAUAUGUGGUUCAUUGAAAACCGUGUGUAAAAAAGAAAUAAAGAAGUGAUUCAGACAAUAAAAAUUGAUUCUGGGAUUAUUAUAUUAUUUUGAGGGUUGAAGUCCAAAUUUUUGCUUUUUUUUGGCUGUUUCUGCAUCAUAGUUGGCUAGAAGAUCCUUUCAGUUGGAUCUGUUUUAUAGUCCUUGAAGUUUUUUCAGCCCAUUUCUUCCUUUGUUCUUGUUUAUUGUCUAUGCAAUUAGUUGCAUAAAUUUUAUUCUCAGCUUUGACUGCAUUUUUCGACACAUGGAUGGACAUUAUGCCAAAUGCUAUUUGUUUAAUAUGAAGUUCAAUGACAUAUAACUCCAUUUGAAUUUGCAACAGGACAACAAUCGAAAACUAGUGAACAAUGAAGGUUGAUACUUUUUAGUGAUCCUUAAUAUGCCAUCUAUCAUACAGGAGAACUCACAAAAAGAACAAUGGAAAUACUUCUUGGCAUUUCUUCCCGCAAAACGAUACUGAUGAAUUAAUAGAACUAGAAGAUAUAGCAUUCAUAUCCAGACUGCAUAAUUUAUGGUCUGCAAAAUGAAAGUUUCAUUAAUUAGUCUCAAUUAUAGAACAUGUAAAGCAACUAAACCUCCAAGAGCAAAAUAACUCUACAUUUUUUCUCACAAAGUCUGCACUAGAGAAUCACAUUUAUAGCUCCCUCACCUUCCUCUGUUAUAAUAUUGUCGGUGUUAAAAAAUUUGCAUUUGCAAUUUGCAAAGAGCCAAUGACCUAGAGGAAGCAUCCACACAAAAAAAGAAACAUGUGAGCGUGAUGCUUAGAGAGACUAUAUGUCAUCUUUUAGGAUGGAUUCGAAUAAGAACAUAAGUAAUAAUAUAAAGUACAGAAUUUCAGAACCUAGUCUGCAUAUGUUGCAUCUACUGCAUCUAUUGCAAAUACCUGGGUAAAGUAUGAUUUUCUAAGAAAUAAAUAUCCUAAUCAAUGUUCAUUAUCAUAUUACACAAUCAGUUUUAGUGAUAUUGAUGCACUUAUCGUUCUUUCCAUUCUUUGAUUAAUUUUUUAAACAAAACAAAUUGUGCAGUAAUUGAAGCCAAACUCCUAUACUAUAUAUGCUUCAACAGAACUUCUUGAAACGUGGGACUCAUGUUCCGAACAAUUGUCAUAGUUAGAUGUUGUCAGCUUGAAUUGGAAAUGAAUGUGAAAGUACAAGCUUAUAUACUAGCUACACUUACUGACCUACUUGUUAACAUGUGUAACAAACUCAUGUCAACAUCAUCAACUGCUGAACCCUUGGACAUUUUUGGUAGUCUUGAAGCACUCAAGUGUAGGCCAGUAAUAUUUUCCUGUCAUGUCACUGCUAAGGUUUCAUUAGGUCCCAGAUAUGUUGCCUAUCAACAUUGAAUUGAUGAUUUGACAAGUUCACAAUUAUAAGAUUAUAAAGAAAGUAGAAUAACUCUGCCAAUAUUAGAAAAUACACUGACUGAAGUAUACUACUUACGAUCCUGAAGAUUAUUGCCAUUUUGAGCACAUAGAUCAAGUUUGUUAUUGAUCGUUUUGAUCAUUUGAUUGUCUGUUUUGAAAGUAUAUUUUAAUAGGUAAGCCUUAUUUUCAUUCUCCAGGUUGCAUAUACCUCAUCGUCCAUUUUUUCCUUGCAAGUUCAUUUUCUAAUUUGUUUCGCAGAUUAGUUUUCCCAAGCUUUGUUCGAGUUCAAAAUUAUGCCUAUAAUUCUCAUCUGUCGUUAGUGUUCGAGUUUUGCGGGGAAGAUCUUGUCCUUACUCUUCCCUUUCUAUUUCACUACCGUAAGAAAGGUAGUGGGCAUUAAAGGUAGAAUACUGAACUCUACAGUUAGAAGUCGCUAUUUGAUUUUUCUCUGUCCCGAGUUCCUCGCUCCGAGGGAGGCCAUAUCUUAGGUGAAUUCUAAAACCAGGAAGCAAUAUUAGUGAAGGCAUAGAAUGAGACCGAUUAAUAUUGCAAGAGUACGCGUGGCAUCGAGUGUAGCAAAAGAAAACAACGAGGAACCAUCAUAGUUUGAAAUGAUUAUCGCAACUCGUACAAAAGCGAGAAAGGAAAUUCAGUGCGAUACCGAAGUUAAAAUAGAAUAAUUUACGCGGAAGGAAGGUAAAAAAUGAAUCAUAAGCUGAUUUUCGUCCUGAAGUAAAUAGUUACAGUAAACUAUAGAUGUCAAUUUUGUUCAACAAGUUGAACUUCAGAAUCGUCAAAAUUCUAGAGAAUACUGUUGAUGCCUUCAGGGCAGUGUUUGGAAAGGAGCAGCAUGGACGACUUAGGUGCUAUGGCAGAUCACUGACAACAAGUUCUCUGAAAUAAGAUGAGGAAAUUAACAAGAUCAAACAAAAGCAUCUUAACGAAAUCAGUUCUUUUAAGGAAGAAAUGUAUUAAAAAUGAAUUAAAAAAAUCAAUGCAAUGACAGAUGAAAUGCGAAAUUUUUUUUGUUCCAAUGCUGCAAAACAACCCUGGAUUGAAUGUUCAAGAUAUACAAGGGGUCGUUGGAUCUAACCUUGUUUCACCUGUUGAUGCAAGUAGAGCACAAGCUCUAAGAGGCCACAACAUUCCAAAUUCUUCAGGGGGAAUAGAGAUGCUCAAAUUUGAAGGGUUGCCACAAGUUAAUUUGAUCUCAUUGAAGUAAAAGUGGAUAACUAAUGAAGAGUUUGAACUAUCACAAAAGUUUGAAUACUUUUUCUACUCACGUGUACACUUAUAUUUAGAAUAUUGCUUUAUAAGUAUGUGUAUGAACACAAGACUAUCUUUUGAUGUUUAUUGCAAAUUUAUAUAUUUAAACUAGUUAUUAGCUAA